rnacentral:misc_RNA from 1 species
GUUUGGAGGUGGGGAAUGGCAUAAUGAAGAUAAAAAUUAAAUAUAGCCCCAGACCAUAUUUGAGAGCUUAACAGUCCUCAGCAGGUACUGCUUCAUUUAUAUCCUUAGUCUUUUCCUUCACACUGAAAGCUAAUGGGCAUUUGCAUAUAUU